UACGUGGGGCGCAAGCGUUAUCCGGAAUUAUUGGGCGUAAAGAGCUCGUAGGCGGCUUGUCGCGUCGGUCGUGAAAACCUGCAGCUCAACUGCAGGCUUGCGGUCGAUACGGGCAGACUGGAGUACUGCAGGGGAGACUGGAAUUCCUGGUGUAGCGGUGGAAUGCGCAGAUAUCAGGAGGAACACCGGUGGCGAAGGCGGGUCUCUGGGCAGUAACUGACGCUGAGGAGCGAAAGCGUGGGGAGCGAACAGG
rnacentral:rRNA from 1 species